rnacentral:rRNA from 1 species
AAACUUUUAACAACGGAUCUCUUGGUUCUGGCAUCGAUGAAGAACGCAGCGAAAUGCGAUAAGUAAUGUGAAUUGCAGAAUUCAGUGAAUCAUCGAAUCUUUGAACGCACAUUGCGCCCGCCAGCAUUCUGGCGGGCAUGCCUGUUCG